rnacentral:rRNA from 1 species
AGCAAUACGAGAGUGGCGCACGGGUGAGUAACACGUGGGAAUAUGCCCAGCAGUGGGGGAUAACCGAGGGAAACUUCGGCUAAUACCGCAUACGCCCCUAGGGGGAAAGAUUUAUCGCUGUUGGAUUAGCCCGCGUCCGAUUAGCUAGUUGGUGUGGUAACGGCGCACCAAGGCGACGAUCGGUAGCUGGUCUGAGAGGAUGAUCAGCCACACUGGGACUGAGACACGGCCCAGACUCCUACGGGAGGCAGCAGUGGGGAAUAUUGGACAAUGGGGGCAACCCUGAUCCAGCCAUGCCGCGUGAGUGGAGAAGGCCUUAGGGUUGUAAAGCUCUUUCGGCGGGGACGAUGAUGACGGUACCCGCAGAAGAAGCCCCGGCUAACUCCGUGCCAGCAGCCGCGGUAAUACGGAGGGGGCUAGCGUUGUUCGGAAUUACUGGGCGUAAAGCGCGCGCAGGCGGCUAUUCUAG